AAUGCUUCUCGGCCUUAUGGCUAAGAUCAAGCGUAGUACCUGUUCUUAUCAGCUUAAUAUCUGAUAUGUCCUUUAUUUAAGGACUAUAUGUUAAUUCAAUUUUUAGAGCUAGGAAGUGAAAUGAAGCUUGCUUCAUUCACUCCAUGCAUCAGCCUGGUACUGCAGUGUCUCCAGAAAUGGUGCACCUCCC